UCCUGUAACAUUAAAAAAGUAGAACAUGUCACUGAUUUGUAGACAUAGGUAUAAACAUAUUAACCAGCAAGGUGAUGUAAAGUGCAAGAUUUGGCACAGGUAAUUAGAAGACACCGUUGAUUCAUGCGAUUAUAGAUAAAAAUAUCACACUAUAGUUUCUUUCUUUUGUUUCCAUUUUAAUGAAGAAACUCCAAGUCAAGCCCAAGUACUUCCACCACCCGCAAGACAGACAAAGUUUGAGUCCAUAUUGUUGGUAUAGUAAAGUGCAAGAUUUGGCACAGGUAAUUAGAAGACACCGUUGAUUCAUGCGAUUUUAGAUAAAAAUAUCACACUAUAGUUUCUUUCUUUUGUUUCCAUUUUAAUGAAGAAACUCCAAGUCAAGCCCAAGUACUUCCACCACCCGCAAGACAGACAAAGUUUGAGUCCAUAUUGUUGGUAUAGUAAAUUGCAUCCACAAGUGUGAGCGUAAACCCCGUCCCAAGUUAAUCCUCUACAACCAAGCUAAACUUACACAGGUAAUCAACUACAAUUGGUAGCAACCUAAAAGAGGCAAAC
rnacentral:lncRNA from 1 species